AUCUACAGCCAUGCCACCCUGAAUGCUCCCCAUCUCAUUUGAUCUCAGAAGCUAAGCAGGGUCAGACCUGGUUAGUACUUGGGUGGGAGACCGCUUGGGAAUACCAGGCACUGUAGGCU
ensembl:rRNA LOC120094400 5S ribosomal RNA